UUAGAUGGCGGAAGAAAUUCUUCAACAUUAGAGGCCAAAAUAGAAUCAGAUUCUUUUUCGGCCUCGAAUGUUAGGAGAAUGUUUUCCUCUACCUAA
rnacentral:pre_miRNA from 1 species